CGGAGGGAAACCGAGUCUUAAUUGGGCGUUAAGUUGCAGGGUAUAGACCCGAAACCCGGUGAUCUAGCCAUGGGCAGGUUGAAGGUUGGGUAACACUAACUGGAGGACCGAACCGACUAAUGUUGAAAAAUUAGCGGAUGACCUGUGGCUGGGGGUGAAAGGCCAAUCAAACCGGGAGAUAGCUGGUUCUCCCCGAAAGCUAUUUAGGUAGCGCCUCGUGAAUUCAUCUCCGGGGGUAGAGCACUGUUUCGGCUAGGGGGCCAUCCCGGCUUACCAACCCGAUGCAAACUGCGAAUACCGGAGAAUGUUAUCACGGGAGACACACGGCGGGUGCUAACGUCCGUCGUGAAGAGGGAAACAACCCAGACCGCCAGCUAAGGUCCCAAAGUCAUGGUUAAGUGGGAAACGAUGUGGGAAGGCCCAGACAGCCAGGAUGUUGGCUUAGAAGCAGCCAUCAUUUAAAGAAAGCGUAAUAGCUCACUGGUCGAGUCGGCCUGCGCGGAAGAUGUAACGGGGCUAAACCAUGCACCGAAGCUGCGGCAGCGAACGUAUCACUUAAAGCGAUUCAGCGGGUUACGAUUGACGGAGCGAAGCGACGUCAAAGCGUAUACAAAGUCGAGUCGGUUUAAGGAUACGUUCGUUGGGUAGGGGAGCGUUCUGUAAGCCUGUGAAGGUGGCCUGUGAGGGUUGCUGGAGGUAUCAGAAGUGCGAAUGCUGACAUAAGUAACGAUAAAGCGGGUGAAAAGCCCGCUCGCCGGAAGACCAAGGGUUCCUGUCCAACGUUAAUCGGGGCAGGGUGAGUCGACCCCUAAGGCGAGGCCGAAAGGCGUAGUCGAUGGGAAACGGGUUAAUAUUCCCGUACUUGGUGUUACUGCGAAGGGGGGACGGAGAAGGCUAUG
rnacentral:rRNA from 1 species